rnacentral:rRNA from 1 species
UACGUAGGGUGCGAGCGUUAAUCGGAAUUACUGGGCGUAAAGUGUGCGCAGGUGGCCGCGCAAGUCGAGUGUGAAAUCCCCGGGCUUAACCUGGGAACUGCACUUGUGACUGCACAGCUGGAGUGCGGCAGAGGGGGAUGGAAUUCCGCGUGUAGCAGUGAAAUGCGUAGAUAUGCGGAGGAACACCGAUGGCGAAGGCAAUCCCCUGGGCCUGCACUGACGCUCAUGCACGAAAGCGUGGGGAGCAAACAGG